UGCCCGGUAGCUAAAUGCGGAAGAGAUAAGUGCUGAAAGCAUCUAAGCACGAAACUUGCCCCGAGAUGAGUUCUCCCUGAGACUUUAAGUCUCCUGAAGGAACGUUAAAGACGAUGACGUUGAUAGGCCGGGUGUGUAAGCGCAGCGAUGCGUUGAGCUAACCGGUACUAAUGAACCGUGAGGCUUAACCUUAC
rnacentral:rRNA from 1 species